GCCGAAGUGGCGGAAUUGGCAGACGCGCACGACUCAAAAUCGUGUGGCCGUGAGGCCGUGUGGGUUCAACUCCCACCUUCGGCACCA
rnacentral:tRNA from 1 species